rnacentral:lncRNA from 1 species
GGACUCUUCUUUGAAUGUCAGGGGAUCACAAGGGACUUGUAGAUCAUCAUAGACAAAAUCCUAUGAAGGGAAAUUCCGUAGAAACCCUUCAUGACCCUAUUGAAUGUCUUAGAUUUCCACAUCUAUGAUAUCAUCGAUUUUGAUCCCCUACUAGGCUAUCCGCUAGAAAAACUUCUCGAUACAUCUCAAGGGAGCCUGGAUGAAAAGAUUAGGGAAACUGCUUCUGCCACCGCUACCUCUUGUCUAGAAAAUCCUAUGGUGAAGCCUCCUCCCGAGCAAAACCCGCUCGAGAAAGUUAUGCGUGCAUCUCCAUUCGUCUCAUCAGAGCCCAUUCUCUUUGAGGUCAUAGAAUCUGAUGCCCCCGAAGAGUUCAACUCGGAAGAGACCCUUCACCUUUGUGAAGGCAAAUGAUCAUCAUCACCCUCGAUCAAGUUUAAGCCUCUUCCCACUAGCCUGUACUAUGUUGUUUUCGACCAUGAUCAAAAAUCAACAUUGAUCUUUCAAGAUGAAUCUCUUGAGAUGGAGAAUUCAUGGGCCAUGGAAUUUCGUGAGGCGCCGACUCUAGAGUCUAAAGGAAAGGAUUUCAUAGAUGAGUAUGGGAGCUUCAUUCUUGAAAUACCACAAGGACCAUGCUCGUCCAAUGCCUCUCCUAAAUAAGCCACGCUUUGUGCCCCAAGCACAUAUGAGGACUACAACCACCUUAAGGUCCUCUCUUGGAAAAAGUUUAGAAGCUUGGUUGUAGAUGCAUAUGUUUAUCAUAAAGAUUGCGAAUUUCGUGGAUGCACUGUGGUGCUAACCUUGCAGCUAAAGCUCCAAUGAUACAUCAAACAAUUGGUGGUGAGAAGGGAAUGACAUCACCAAUGAUAGCUGCAAAGAGGAAGUUCCCACGGUUGAGCUUGUGACCAUAAACAAAGCACUGCCGGGAGAUAGCCUGGAUGAUCAUUUAUUUUUCCUUUCAAUUAAAGCAAGAUCAUUUCUUUAGGAUAAACUCUGCUUCGGGUAUUUUUGGUCACUAACCAUAUUAGGUGGAGAUUAAAGAGAACGAUGGAUAGGUGACGCCUAAGAACUUGGGAGCUACACAAACUACAGUACCUUGGUAAGUCUUGGUGAGGGAACGAUUACGAAAGGAACCUUGAACUCUAGACACUUGAGUUGUAUUUCCCAGCAAUGCAAACUCCAAGUGUGGGGGAGGUAUGUGAGUAUCCCGAGUAAAGUUCCUCUCGUGCCAAAUCUUAUCUUUGUUUGGAGAUGGUGUUUGUUCUUGCAUCUUGCCCCACUAAAAAAAAUGAAAAAAAGGAGUUACCACGGCAGCAAUUCAGAAUUCUUCAUCAACAAAAUGCCAUGGUAAGUACCUAUAGGUAUGUCCUACUUUUGAAUUUAAAAAAGCCCUUCCAGGAGAUCACCCGAAGUUCACCAAUCUUAUACUCCUAUUUAUCUCUCCUUUGGAAUAUAGCUUGAUCGUGCUUCCUUUAUCUAUGCUCGUAUGCUCCAGUUUGAAUGUACGUAUGAUCAAUGUACGUUCAUAGGCUGUUUUAAAUUAAGAAUGGUGCUUAGGUUAAAAUGUCUUCUUCAAUCAAACAAGACAUGGUGUCGAGUUUGAUUGAUGAACCUUAGGGUUAAUACUUUCAUAGAUCUUGGUUGUAUAUGUGGACUAACCCCUGUAGGAGAAUCUUCAAACCCAAACGGGUAAGUCGUUGAUCUUGAUUCAAAUAGGAAGAUAGACCAAGGCAUUGGAUUCAUGUUGCACAACAUAAAAAGGAGGUACAUAUCACCCUUCAAGGGUCCACAGUAAGUAUACCCUCCUUUGCUUGUGAUGGUGCAAUUUUGAUUCAGCCUUGUUUGAGUUAGGUCUCAUGGUGAAAAUAAAAUAAAAACAUCCCAAAAAUAUUUGAGUUCCAAUAAAGUAAGACUCCCUAGUUCUCAAACCAACAGAGUCUCCCUUUUGUUUCCACCUUUUUUUUUGAAUAAAGCACCAGGUACAAGCACAAGUGUGGGGGAGGUCUCUCAAGCUCAUCAACAUACACACUCGAGAUCUCCCACAAUGGUGUCGCACAACAUUCACUAUGCCAACAUGAGAAGGGACAAGGUGAGGGCACCAGAAGGAGUCGGCCGUUGGCUGAAUCACCACUGAUCCGCUUUGAUCCCCAUAUACUUCAAGAGCGAUGGUAUGUGCACUCUAUUCCUCACUCUCUUGAUUCAUGAGUUUGAAUGAAGUUUAAAUCUGAUCCACUAAAUCAAAUUGAGAAUAAAAUGAGUCAGCAUGCUCCACCUGCUCUGCAUGUUUCCUAUGGUUGGCUUGCAUAUGUUUUAUUCCAUGCUAUCAUCUUGAUGCUUGUGAACAAAAAUCUUUAGGAAAGCAUGCUCAUCUAAGUAGUCGAUGUUUGUGAUAUGUUUUGAUGAUAUGAUCUUCGCUCUUGAUGGUUAUGUGCUUGGGAACUUUAUUUGAAAAAUUUAGAAAACCGUUUGCAAAGCUCCUCUUUGAUAUGCCAAAGUCCUACCAAAGGCAUAUGAUGAGAUAUCUUGAAAACUUUAUGCAUAUGCUGCUUGUCUUUACAUUGAGCUUUGUCAAAUUUUUGUGACCCUUGUGAGAAUUCUUUUCAUGCUUUCAUGAUCAAGGCUCACGUGCACACUAUAUACCCCUUGCUAUGCUCAUAUGAGAGUUAGCAUUGUACCAUCCAUCCACUCCACAAAAUAAAUACUCCACCAUAUGUGUUGGUCUCUCUCCCCAAUUAUUGUUACAAAAGAGACAUGGGCUAUCCAAAAAAAUAUGGACACAUUAAGGUCCAAGUAUUGAAGAAAAAAGUUGGACACAUGAAGGUCCAAGAAAAAGAAAAAAAAGAAAAAAGAGAAGAAAGACAGCCAUGUCUCAAAAAAAAUUUCAAAGGGGGAGAGAUCACACAAAAAGGAGUUUUUAUUUCAUCCACCAUAUCCAUACACGUGCACAUCUUGCUCUGAUUGUAUGACUUAUUUUUCUCCUAGGAUCCGAUUUUUGACUUUGCAAUAUAUGUGAUACAAGUAUGCCUUACCCUUGAUACCUUACCUUGAGCUCCACAAAUUGCCAUCACUAGAAGUAAGAUGAAGAAAGGCAAGUCUAAUGCCUUGGUGAGGACAUAUAUACAUUGAGCAAUCUGAGAGAAUUAAAUGAGGAGCUAAGCAAGGUUUGUUUUGAAGACUUAUUGAAAAAUCUCAAGCUACUAGACAUGAGGAGUAGAAGUGACUUGAUUCAAGAUUAUUCCAUGCCUCAACUACCCAAGAUGGUAUGAUAGACACUUCAAAGUUCACAAGUGCAAGGUAUGACUUGGAAUAACUCUUAUGACCACUUCAUUGGAAGACAUGUUUCACCUUAGUCCUUUCUCAUUCACUCGAGGAUGAGCAAAGGCUAAGUGUGGGGGUGUUGUUGACGGCUCUUAAGUACCAAAUCUACGCCGUCAACUCCUGCAUAAACACAUAAAAGACAAGCAUUAACAGUAGUGGUAGGAGUAAUUACUAAUGAAUUCCACAAGUGUUGGUAAAUAUUUAUAUGCAGGUCCAUUAAAGGAGAAAACACACCUCAAGGAUCAAGGAAACACACUCUCAACCAAUUAGGAGCAAGCACACGGAUUGAAGGGUCCACAAACAGGAGUGAACCAACUAGAUACACCGCAAAACAUCCCGUACCCAAGGUUUGACCCAACUGGCAGCCACCCAGGCAAAGGUAGUUGCCAGAGGCGGUUACCAGGGGUCGGCCGAACCCAUGGUGGGGCCGCUCGCCUCCAGCCGCCACGUGUCGCUAGAUACCGACCUUGCAAUGGUGGUAAGGGAAGAUUCCUGAAAUAUUCCCCUCAGGAACUGACCUCCAAGUGCCUAUAAAUAUGAGGGGAGGGGUCUCAUUUGAGGAGACACCACCACCUUGGGUGAACUCCACUUCCACUCCUUUCAAGAGAAGAGCUCAAUGGCGAAAAGCUGCCUAGCUAGUGCUUAAAAUAGGGAGAGAGUGAGGGGUGUUUAGGAGGAGUGGCGGGGUGUCGGCACUCUCCUCCUAGCUUGUACCUCUAUGAAUGUUGGCUUUGUUAGGACUACAGUAAGCUAGUAUUUGUGAUUCCUUUCUAUAGUGUUAUACUUGGUUGCACGAGUAGUCUUAUUCCCUUGCUCGUAUACUAAUCAUAUACCCUUGCUAUCAUAGUUUAGGCUUGAGUGCUCUCGUGUAUGCUUAUAGUAUAUACUAGUAGUUCGUAUAGUUGAGUGAGAUCAGUUCUCUUACUCGCGGUUUCGUCGCUCCAUAUUUAUACGGAGUGUUGUAGUCGUCUACGGGACGUCAGACGUACUUGGGCUGUAGUAAUAAUCAGUACUAGUGAUGCGGUGUCUAGGCUAAGGAUUAUCCUUCGUUUGCCUUAUAUCCCACGGGUUGCUAGAGGUAAGCCAUAGGUGGUGACAGCCCUAUUGGUCCUUUGAAAUCCUCCACAUUCGGAUAUAGCGUAGAGCCAUUGGCUAGAGGCGCCUGACUAAUUCAGAGUAAGCCGAUGCCCGAAGCAAGUUCUUUAACCAAGAGAUUGACCUUUAACUCACCUAUAGAGCUAUCCUUAGGAACCCUCUCUACCCUCGUCACCUAUCUGGUGUGUCCUUGGAUGAACUAGAAUAGAAGUUAGUGCACACACAUUCCCUUAGAUUUGAUACCCUUGGAAUACUCUGAGGUGAAAGCUACAACGGUGUUUGUGCGCUUACGGAUUCAUUCGCAUUCAUUACUUAUACCAACAUCGCCUAUUUUAGGUCGGCAUGCCUGCGUGGCCCCACCAGUCCUCACGCUCAGAGGCUAGGCACUUAUUUUAGGUCGGUGUGCCUCCGUGGCUUCACCAGUCCUCGCCCUGCCAGUCCUUGCGCUUGGGGGCUGGGCGCCUCAUUUUGGUGACUACUGAUACAACUACUUCAUGAUUUACUAUAUUUCUAGACCCUUAGACUGAUUACUUUAAUCGCUUGAAGACUCGGGGGCUACUCCAUAUGGAGUGCAUCUUGCAAUGCCCUCAAUGUACUUCCUUUUGAAGACUCGGCAGUCGUUUGCGCCACGCGCAUUUGGUCACGCACUUGCUCAAAAUCCAAAUUUUUUAUUACUUUUUUGAGCACUGCGCAGCCUCUCUAUCACUAUGAUGAAAUCAUAACUUCAACUGAGUACAGUACAAACUUCGUUGUGCAUCCGUCAGGCUCCUGUUUGACUCCACAUUGCUCGGGGGCUUGAGGGAUAAGGGUACGCACGGGUCCCCACCAACCAGGAUAUUGGCCGGCCUGAUAAGUGGGCCCCACCCGACCAUGGCGUGUGGGGCAAAGCAUGAUGAUGCGUGGAGAACAAGCCAGGAGGUCCGACGAAUAGAAUUCGCCCGGAUAUUGCGGGGUAUAAGUUGUAGUCCAACUCAGAUUGCUUUCCAUGUACCAACUGACUAGGAUUAUGUCCUAUCCAACUUGUAACCCUAGGUCGUCAGCCUAUAUAAGGCGUCCAGGGACACCCCCAAGGGUAAGGGACCCUAACUUAGCAAUACAAUACACCAGAACAUAGGAUGUAGGGUAUUACUCUCCGGACGCCCGAACCUGUCUAAACCUUGCGUCUCUGUGAUACCAUUUGAGUUUAUGGUCUUACGAUCUCCCCCGCCUACAAAUAUACAACCUGGGCACCCCUUGGUGGACUGCCGGUCACUAAAUCCGAUAUUAAGAAUUUUGGAUGGGAUUCGAAUGGAAUUUGAGCUUAAUGGAUUCUGGAGAUGAAAAUUUAAAGGACACGACGAUGAAUGGAUUUGGCAUAAAAUCAAGGGUUUGAAAUUGAAUAAUAUUCAAAGAGAAUUUAGAAUGGGGUUCGGGUGGAUUUAAUAUUUGAAUAAAUUCAAAUAUUAUUCUAGGAAGAAUAUCAUUAAGAAAAUAUUCCUAGAGCAAUCAUAUGCAACACAUAUGUUGUUAUUUUAUGCAAGAUUUAUUUGUAAAAGGAGUUUUGAAUCUUUGGGAAAAGAGAGUAGGUUUAGUUUAAAGAAAUUUUUUAAAAAGUCCAUAUUUUUAAAUGCUCUAAAAAGCGGGAUGUUAUAGUCGAGCUCUACAAUUUUGAUAUAAAGUUUGUAUUCAUCUCAGAUCAUAUGAAAAGUUGAGUAUUAAAAAAAUGCAUCCUUUUGAACUAAUCAUUCUAAUCCUUGCCACCAAAUGAAAAACUUGUAUGUGUUGUCUGUUUGUGAUCGUAAACGAUCUCAAAUGAAAAACUUGUCAACUAUAUAAAAUUUAAGAUCUCAUUAAGCACUACCAUUUAAUAUAGAGCUUGUUGAGGUCAUUUGUAAAUUUUAAAAAUUCUAGAUUUCAAUAUUAGAGAACUUAAAUUAAUUUUUGAACUAUUGAAUGAUCUCAAAUGAAAAAAUUAUCAACUACAAAGUUUUAGACCUCGUUGAGCUCUACAAUGUUGAUAUAAAAUUUGCCUUCAUCUGAGAUCAUAUGAAAAAGUUAUAUAUUUAUUUGUACGCGACCAUUUCUAGGGUGAGCAUGUCAUCACCCGCCCCUAGAAAUAAUUUUCGGGAACAGGUAAUUGUAAAAAUGGUUCCUAUUUUCAGGGGUGGGUGAUUAGGUGACCUGCCCUUGAAAGAAAAUGAUCAUUUCUAGGGUGGGUCAUCCCAUCAUCUUUUGACCUGCCCUACAGAUCUUUUUUGUAGUUGUGUUAAUGUGGAAUGCUAGGUAGUUUCGUGAAUGUCUACCAAACAAGAUGCCCCUAAAUUAUCUGGAUUUAGAACAAAAUUGUGCUUUUGAAAAGCAACCGCAUUGUUGUAUGAAGUCUGACUAGUCAUUAAGUACUACUAUAAAGUACACGUAAACAAUAACGGUAAUUUUAUGAGCAUAGUUUUCAAGAGAAAUCUAACCGUGCCAUUUUUAGAAGUUGAAUGAAACUAAUCAAAAGACUAAUGUGGUUAAAGUUUACUUGUGUUGAUUCACUGGUAGAAAAACGAGCAUUAGUCCUAGUUGGAAAAACCAAGAUAUAUGAGGUUUCACAAUCGGAACUAAUUAAUCGGGACUAAAUGUCCCCAUCUUUUAGUCCCAUAUGCGCACGUUGCAAGUCACAAGUCAUGCGAUUUCACACGAAAUAUGCGCGUGCGUGGUAUGUGGGAUUCGAACCCACGACCUCAAGCCUUGCAUAUAGCUUCCUUACUAUCUCACCUACAAAGCACAUCUGACUGAGUAGGGAAUGCAAUCCGUUUGUAGUAACUCGUGGGGACCCUUUAGUCCUAGUUGGCCCUUGAGUCCCGAUUGGUAACACCAACUAGGACUAAGGCCCACGAAGAUUUUAGUCCGGGUUUGUAACACCAAUCGAAACUAAAAGAUCACCUUUAGUCCCUGUUGAUGUUACCAACCAAGACUAAAGGUGUCUUCACAGACUACAAAAUUUAAACUCGGGACUAAAGCCUCUUUAGUUUCAGGUCAAAAACAAUCGAGAUUUUUGUUGUAAUGGAAGGUCGUUUUUCUACUUAGUGAUUGGGCGCAAGUGCAAUCCUAAAUGACACCAUUUGCGUCUGAAGUGAGUGUUUUGUUUGGUAAAUUGUAACCAAUAUUAUAAUUCAAAAUUUUCAAAAUGGAUGCAUAGUAUAAGAGAACGAUAAAUUGAAAUUCCAGAUCGUUUUUCUACCACUACGUACUAGCACUUACCAAUCGUUGCUUUACAUUUCAGCAAGCGAUUAAGGAUUCUCCAUUUGCGUGUGUGAUAUAUGCGCAUAUAUAGCUAGGGAAAACCGAACAUCAACCUGCCAAGUUAUGAAUUUGAAAAUGGGAUGAUGAAAAUGUUUAUUUUCUUAUUAUUUGAGCUCAAGUUAGCCGUGAAAACCCGAUUUCCCUCCGACAACUCUAUUCCACUUGCCGUCAAAAACGGACCAAGAAAGAACAACAGCAACCAAAAGGAAAACCCCACAGUUUAAGGACAGCCUCCUCUUGCACACACUUGUUCCCCUCGUCGUCUGCCUCUCCUGCGUUCAGUCCUUGACCCCCUCAACUCCAAAACACCCGGACACCAGACAACUGUCAAAGGCCCUUCCUUUCUGCACAAAACCGCAUGGAGUUACAGGUUUUCUCAGAAGCUCCCCGUUCGUUCCUCUAAAACCACCAAGAACCGCCUCAGGAUCAGCCAGAAAAAUCCCAUUCUUCGGCGGAGAGAUGUAUCUGCAUCUUUCUGCGUCUAGCAACAUCAAUUGAUCUCUACUACAGAUGCAGCGUUCGUGUUUUCCGUUGGCAAGUUUGUAGCACGUAAUAACACCGCUGGUGGUGUCAUCGUCAAUGGCGGCGAGGUUGAGCCACGGCCUCCUUGGCGCGCUGAACGUGGUGACGCUCCUCCUGUCCCUGCCGGUGCUGUGCGCGGGCGUCUACUUCCGUAUGCGCGCCGCCACCGAGUGCGAGCGCGCCCUGCAGCUCCCCGUCGUCGCCUUCGGCUGCGCCCUGCUGCUGCUCUCCCUCGUCGGCCUCGCCGGCGCUUGCGGCCGCCGCGGCGCCGCCACGCCGUUCCUAUGGGCCUACGUGGUUUUCAUGUUCCUGCUCGUCGUCGUCGUAUUCGCCUUCACCGUGUUCGCGUUCGUGGUCGUUGCCAGCCGGGGCGCCGCGUCCGGCCGGCACGGGUACCGGGAGUACCGCCUUGGGGACUACUCCGGCUGGCUGCAGGCGCGGGUCGCCGCGCCGGAGACGUGGCGGCGCGUCGAGAGCUGCCUCUCCGAGGCGCGUGUCUGCGGCGUCCGGCCGUUUGACGGCGCCGUGGGGCGAGACGCCAUGGAAUUCUACAAGCAACACCUCUCGCCCAUCCAGGUACACUGUGAUCGAGAUCAAUAUUUCUGGCAGAAGUGAAAGGAUCGUGAAUGCGCGAGAGUUUGAUACGUGUUCGUGCAGUCUGGUUGCUGCAAGCCGCCGACGCGGUGCGGGUUCCGGCACGUGAACGCCACGUUCUGGGCGGCCCCGAAGUCGGGGUCGUCUCCAUCAGCGACGCCGGCCGGCGACGGUGACUGCCGGGCAUGGAGCAACGACGUGCAGGUGCUGUGCUUCGAGUGCGAGGCGUGCAAGGCCGGCGUGCUGGAGACUGUCAAGACCAAGUGGAAGGCGGUCGCGAUCGUGAACGUUGCCCUCCUCGUGCUCCUCAUCGUCGUCUACACGCUCGGGUGCUGCGCCCUGCGCGGCAACGGCGGCAGCCGGUACUCCAAACGCUGCGGUGCUGACGAAACCUGAGCCAGCGAUCGAAUUGAGAGUUGGUCUAGAAACUCAAGAUGCUGAUCUGGAUUCUGGAGUUCGAGUGUGACGACGGGCCGGGUACAGUACAUCUACAUGUCAGGAGUGAGCGAUGAGAUUGAGUGCUGAGGUGAAGGUGUAUUAGGAGUUUACGUAUUGUAAAUUGGAAAGCCUUUUUUUCGUGUUUGUUAACCGCUGGGAAAACGUAGAUAGAAAUAGAAACGGUGUUCCAAUGGGUUUGUAGUAGUUCCACUACAUAUACCACCACUACACUGUCAUGUCUCCAGUUAUGUACUGCCACCAUCCCAAAUUGUAAAUUAUUUUGAUUUCUUUUAGAUGUGUAGUAUUUAAACAUAACCUAUAUCUAGAUGUAUAGCAAAGGCUACGGACUAUAAAAACCAAAACGACUACAAUUAUAAAUGGAGGGAGUACAUGAUAAAGGUGAAAGAGGAUCCAUUGAGAAACGCCCGUUUCAUCGAUACAUGGAGCAGCUAUGGCCAAAAUUCAAGAGAAAGAUAAAUUUCACCGAGAUCGUUAAACUUAUCACACUUUCUCACUGUCUCUAUAUUCCUAAAAUGCAUUUAUUUAUUUAGAAAAACUUUUAUAAUUUGUUUUAAACUUUUAUGAUUUGAAACCAAGUUCAAAUCUCACUCAAAUUUGGUCCAAAAUUAUGAUUUGUUAUUUUUAAAGUUUUUUAUUUUAACACAUUCAUUUAGUACUUGAUUUUGUUUUAGAGAUCAAAAACGGGAUUUGAAAACCAUUUGACCUUUGCUCCAAAAUUUCCAAAGAGAGUCACAAAAAUAACUUUGACGCUCAGUUACAACAUUUGAAAAAAUAACAUAGAAAAUAAAAAAUCAUAAUUUUUGAUCAAGUUUCAGUGCGAUUCAAACUUGGUUUGGAACACAAAAAAAUUGAAACAAAUCGCAAAAGGAAAUCUUAAAUAAAUGACUACAUUUUGCGAGUAUAGAAAAUAGACUAGAGUGUUGGACAAGUUGAAGGAUGUUACUAUGCAUUUUGGGAGUAUCCAAAUCAGGUUGAGAACGUGGAACAAGCUAGUUUAAAGACUGUUAGUAUGUAUUUUGAGAGUAGGACCGACAUGAGGACAUGAGACACAUUUGAGGACUCCUGGUGAAAUAUCCUUGACAAAUCGACGGUACCAAUUGAAAGAGUUCGUAGCAAUAAAAAAAAUCGAAAAUAUGAUUGCCUUAGUCUUAUGUGUCCUUAGAGAAAAGGUGCCCUUGAUCUUUUUCGCUUCUUUUGCCUCGCAAUCUUCUAAUGACAAUUGUGUUAAUAAAUUGCAAACUUAUGUGCACUAAGAAAGAUAAAAGGCACGCAUAUACACAGUGUGGAAGAUAGUAGCUAGCUAUACUUUCAACUUUUGAUCCAAGUAUAUAAACGUGCGCGAUUGAGGACCUUUCUGAGUUGAAGAAACAGCGCGACUAAGGCUCCCUUAGGUUGGGCUUCCAAACCUGCUUUUAUUUUUCAAAAGUCAAAAGUCAACCAAAGGGGUAAAGCCCCAUAUGUGUUUUUAAUCAAAAACAACUUUCACUCUAGUACAAAUCUAAAAGCAGGUUCCCCCAGUUUUCACCUACUUUUGGGCAAAGAAAUUACCCACCUGCCACUGGUUAUGGAGGAUACCGAUUCGUUUUCCCCUUCUAUUCCCGUCCGUGACCCUUCUCCGCACCCGGCCGCUACCCCAGCCGGCCCGCCACACCCGGCCGCCACCCCCACCCAGCUGCUGCCCCAGCCAGAGGAGCCUCCGCCCUCCGCCCCAAGCUUCCUCCAGUGCACGCCUCCGCCCCAUGCCUGGCCGCCGCCACCGAGCUCACCGCAGGCUUGGCACCUGCGCACGCCCCUGCUGCCCCCGACUCCCCGCUAGCCCCGUGCGCUGCCGCACCACCGUCGUCAGGCGUAAGCCACUGUUGCUGCCCGGGCGCCGCCGCUCCCACACACCAUUCGCCACACAGGCUCUAAGCACUGCCUGUCGCCCGAGCUCUGGCGCUGCUCGUGCUACCCCACUGCCAUGCUCCACUACUCGGGCGCCAUUCCCUCGCCCGUGGGCCCGCCGAUGUGCUUCACCGGCGUGCGGCCCGAUGGUGUUGCUGGCUUGCGCUGCUGUCAUCGGAGAUGAGGAGGAAGGAGCAAAACAUAAAAUUUCGAAAAUGUUGGUCAUUGAUUUGAAAAAUGUUGAAACUGUUCUUUUGGAAUAUUGGAAUAGAAGGUGAAAAAUGUUGAAUGUAGUAUAUUUUUUACAAAAUAUUGAUAAGUGUUUUAGAAAAUGUUGAAACUACUAGUUUCAAAUGUUGAUCUAGUUUUCAAAAAAUAUUAUGUUGAGGGAUGGCAUCAUUGUAUAAGUUUUUUGAUAGAUAUUGUUCUAUUUAUGUAGACUAAUCACUUUGAUGGAUGAAAAAUGUAGAAAAUUUCUUUCUAAAAUAGUCAUUUACAUGCGAAUUAGUGAAUACAUUGCUUUAUUAUGAGCAAUUUGCAUAUAAACAGACCCUCGGACCUUUAGGGGCAUUACAGGUAUUUCUGACACGGCCUACAGUUUCACAGCUGCUCUAACCAAACGACCUUCUAUUUUUCCACAGCUGCUUUCUCACAACUACUUUUCUACAACCCACAGCUCACAGCUACUUUUCCAAAAGUAACAGUCCAACCAAACAGGGCCUAACAGCUGGUAUGAAUACUAUUUAUUUAUUUAUGUGGUUUGUAAGAGCCAGCUAAGGAUAGAGUAGAUCCGCACCGGGGAUCCCACUCAGGUGCUCCAUGUGCUUGAGGUACUCCCGUACUCCAUGUUAAAAGAACCUAUUAAAACAUGCAUGAAAAAUUCAACGAAAAAUAUGUAUGGAUACACAAUGCAAUGAUGUAUGUUCAUCCAAAAUUUGACGUUGAACAAAAUUUUGUGCAAGGAGAAAAAAAAAAGCAAAAUCAGCUUGUAAUUGGGUCGGAUGCACUGUUCAUCUAGACCCACAACCCGCAUCUAUUCAUAUGCUGCUUUGUCUUUUUUAUGGUGACUAGGAUCAUGCCCUUGCAUUGCUACAGGCGAUAAAAUAUUUACAUUUACAUUAUAAUAUACGAACCACUAAAUAAGACAAUAGCAUCCUGAAAAUAAGCAUGAAUGUUAAAAAAAUAUUUAAUCUAAAAAAAUAGUUAAUAAAUUAAACAAAGCUCGACACAUAAUGUAAUCUUGUAGAGAUAAAAGCUUUUAACUCAUGGCUUACUGUAAAACAAUAGAGACAACGCAUAACAUAACCCAAAUAGCAUACUCAUAAAUACAAUAGAUAAUAGUAAGUUACAGUAACAAGACAACAUUUGCUCACAAUUUACAGUGUUCAAACCGGUCGACAAAAUGAUUCAAACACAAUUUAUCACAUUACAUGGCCUUUCCAUUGCAUUUUCUAUUUACAAAAUAAAGCUUACUCUUUUAUCAAAUAAAUAAUGGGAGAUGCCUGAUCUCCAAUGGGCUAUUGAAGUUCUCUCCACAGAACUUUUGCAAGCAGAUAGAUUCAGGUUAUCAGCUAAAGCUUCAAAAUAUUACCUAGAAGUAUCUCAAUCUAUCCAUCCGAAAUUCAAUAUUUAAAUUGCAGUCCAAAGAAUGUGGAAAAGGAUAAGCUUCAGUUAACAAGAAAAUAGGAUAUUAGUCGUAAACUACUAAAAGGAAAUAUUAUCUCAGGGGUCUGAAUUCAUAUUUCACUCAUCUGCUACAUAGUCCACACAUGAAAAAGGCAAGGCAUGCGUUUGUAAAGGGCUAACUAUCCUGCUCUUGCAAAGAUGACUCACACAUGAAGCAUGUAUUGAGAUGCUGGAAACAAGCAAUUGGUUCUACAAUAUGCUGUAACCAAUCACACCUGGGACAGACAAAGAGAACAGUUCAAAUUAUAUGUCGACAGCAAGCAACAUGGAUUCCGACCAUGUGUGCAUCUACAAAAUUGGUCACCAGCUUACCAAAAAUAAAGUGUAAUGACCUAGCCAAUGUUAUUUAAGCUGAAACUAAACAACAGUAAGGAGGUAAUCUAGGUUAUAAUGUUGUAAUAGAAUCGCGUAAACAGACAUUCUCCCGGUAUCAUGAAAAUCUUUCAAGUUUCUAGAUUUUACUUUAACUUGGUGCAUAUAAAAAUAUAGGAAAAGUGUAUUUUUCAUCCCUCAAGUAUUGCAAAAGUGUGACAUUCAUCCAUCAUAUUUCAUUUUGUGCAAAUCAACCCCUUAACUAACUAAAUCAUGCAUUUAUUAUAUCUACCUUAGUUUAACAAUGGUUUAGUGCCAUCUAACGGCGAUUUAUGCCACAUAUCAUAUGUCUAAUCCCUGCUUAGCAAUAUAAUAUAUGAGUUGAAGAUGUAUCGAAGAUAUAACCCCCCAAAAAAAUUAGUAAAUCCUCUAAAUUGCAUAUAUUAUAAAAAUUUUAUCAGAAAAAUUAACGGAACCGGUUCGCACUGAAUUGUUAUAGCGAUCGAUUCAACAUUAGACAUGCUAAGAAGUGAUUAGUAAGAUGAUUACAUGGUCUAAACCAUUGUUAUAUGACAGUAAACCAUUGUUAAACUAAGGUGGGGAUGAAAAAUGCACCGGUUUAAUUUGUUAAGGGGUUGAUUUGCAUCAAAUGAAAUAUGAGGGAUGAAUAUCACACUUUUGCAAUACUUGAGGGAUGAAUAUCACACUUUUACAAUACUUGAGGAUGAAAAAUGCACUUUUUCCUAAAAAUAUCCACGGAGGCAUGAUUAGUAAAUGUUAUUUCUGGAUGUCUAAAAUACUAAGCAUAUAGUAUAUGCUUAAUCAUAACAUGGAAAUAUUUCAUGUGUACACGUAGAAUAAAAAAUGAACACCGCCUCGGGUUUGUCCAUUGCUAAAUUUCAUUUGACCAAAUUACUGAAGUUAUAUCUAAUACUGAACUGGAUCACAUGGAUACUGUCUCUCCAUAAAUAAGCAGUCUCAUAGUUUCAUGUUUUCAAAAAUUAGCAGGCAUAUACCCUCUAAAUUACCGCAUCCAUAAUCAACCAGGAUUCAGACCAUAUAUAUCCCAACACUAAUAAUCAUAGCAGGUUGGAUAUUGUCAUUGAACAUGUGCCUAGAAGUCUGAAUCCAGUAACACAUUGGUGGCCUUGAUGCUCCCAUAGAUUAUCUGAGGUGUUGCAUGUUCAUGAAGAUACCUGUGAGAAAGCCAUUGUCAGUGAUGUCUGACACAGUGUUUAUCAAAAGCAACAAAGUAUAAAUUAUCAGUGCUAUUCUGUUGUGAGCAAAGAUAAUAAGACCGUUUACUAACAAGAGAGCCCGAGCAGCACCAAUGGCAAUAGAUGCUCUCCUCCGCCAAUCAAGGAGACACUCCGCUGAGUUUGCCAUAUAGUCAUACACCAGCAUGCGUUCAGGUCCAUCCGCACAAUAUCCACGGAAACUCAGGAGGUUUAUGAGUCUUAUUCUUCCCAAGAUCUCGACUUCUGAAGCAAAUUCCACUUAUGUGCCAUUCUUUGUAUUCUUUAACGUCUUGACAGCAAUCUGCAUAAUAAAAGAUUGGCAAAGUCAAUCAGUAGGUUGCAUGGAGUUCGUUGUAGUUUUAUAUAUUAAAACUGGGUAGCAACAAUAUGUAUGGAACCGCACGUCAUUACAAUUUUUCCCAGUCACUAAAUUUGCAUCAAUUGGGCACAAGUACGCAUAAGAAAGACAAAAGGUACAAACAGAACAAACUAUACUUAAGAGAUGGUUGUUCAUUUGUCGAUCUAACAUUAUACUAACCCUCUCCACGAUGCUAGACAUCUUUUUUUGUUUACUCCCCUAUGACAACAUAUCCUACCUACCUAAUAAUAACACAAUCAAAGAUCAAUGUCCCAAAAAUAAUCAAGAAAAGUUAACCGAUAGCAGUUGCUAGACUAUUUAGUGAGGCUGGUACCAAUAAAAUUUGCAAAACUGUGCAUAAUAAUUGUGAUCGGCCCAGCUGAAAAGCAAGAAUUUAAAAGCAAUAAAGUUGAAAAAGUUUUAAAAAUUUUAGUUCACAGCAAGGACCAAGAUGUACAGAGCAGAAACCUGAGAGCCAUCCCAAACUUGUCCCCAAUACACACUCCCAAGAGGCCCUUCUCAAAUCUUGUUAUCGUAAUUGAAGUUGUUUGUUACCGAUCGAAGCUCCCUCAACGAGAACACCCACCUCAAUGAUCCGCUCCCUUCGUCAGACCUGGCAAACCAAAACCACCAAACACAGGAUAAGCUACAAGCCUACAACCAAUUAAUCUUCCAAGUAGAACCUAUAAAAUCAACUCAUAUCCAAUUCCACGGAUACAAAUAUAUCCCCUUCUGUCCCCUAAGAAUAUAUAGCUGCAAAAGUUCAUGAAAAAAAUGUUAAACCAAAUCCAUCACGUGUGCACUAUAACUUCAAAUUGUAAACUCAUGGAAUGACCUGUUGCUCAAACUCAGCCUCUGAUCUGGAACUCUUGGUGAUGAAAAUCUGCUCAAUGGCUGGCUCAGUGCCUCAGUCUCAAGUGCAGAUUUACCCAAGUCUGAGUUGUCAAUCGGAACUGGCCGCCACCCGAGUAUAACAUGUCCCAGAGAUUCUGCAACCUGCAUGGACAAAAUUAAUCAGAGAAAUAACUCAGCAUGAAAAUUCUGCAGCACAGUAAUGCUUACUUCUUCAUACUUGCACUUGAACAACAUAUAGCAGUCACCAUCACCUAUGAUCAUUAAGCAUUAUGAGUUUCAUCAGCGAUUGUUUCACCUCAUGAAGGUCCUAGAAUCACCAUCACCAUACCUAUCAAUAUAUAUCUUGACACAUCUUCAGUUAACGCAAGACUUACGUAGUUGCCUACAGAGUUUCUGUGACUGAGAAAGUCUCAAAGCAUGAAUAGCCUUUGAGAUGCAGAAUUCAGAAAUCAGAACACAUUCCCGAGUGUGCAGAGUGCAUAAUCAGGUAAAUCAUUGAGCUUGACUAAAGAAGUUGUUUACCAAUUCGGCUGUCAGCACUUUCUUUUGGCAGAGGUACGAUAGCUUCUGAGUUCUUCAGUAUAACCACCAUGACCAGUUGACCACCAAUGGUUCUUAGUUGAUGGUGCCUCUGUCUGCCAACAGGAGAAAUGAAAUCAUGAAGUGAUGUGCCGAAUAAUCAUUCAAGAGACCAUAUCUUUCAUUUGUUCAUGAAAAAUUUCAAGCAAACUGAUAAUCUGUUGGAAUAGGAAAAGACACCAACUGUUGGAAUCACCAGGGCACAAAAGAUUUCUACUAGCGGCUAAAAGGGCUUUGUGCUGGUGGGCCGAGCACCUGCUAGCAACUUUGAGCCAGCACAAAUGGCGGUCUAUGUUGGUGGGUGCUCGCCCGCAAGCACAGACCGCUCUGUGCUAGCGGGCGAUGUUAGCCACCCGUCAGCACAGAGGCUUUCUGUGCUGGUGGGUGCAUCAUCACAGAGGGUUUCCGUGUUGGCCGGUGGUUACAUCACCCGCCAGCACAGAUUGUUUAUGUGCUGGCAGGUGGCAUAAUUUUUAUUUUUCCAUCCUAUAUAUUAUUUCCCAUGAUUUAUUUAUAAUUUCUAUUUUCCGCCAGCUUUUAGUCGCCAAAUUUAAAUAUGUAUCUCCAACCACAUAACAACAAGUUAAAUAAUAAAUAAUUCAUAUUAUUAAAAACUGAAUCAUACAUAAUAGAGAUGAUUCACAUUAUUCAACAAAUUUGAAUAAUAAAUAAUUCACAUAAUUCAACAUUUGGAAUAGAGUUAUUCUUUGCCAUGCUAAUAUUCAAACUACUUCGUCCUUCUACGUAGACCUUUGCAAUCGUCUGCCAUCAACAUGCCAUUUGGAUCAUAGAAUUCUCCUUCCUCAUGAAAAAUCUCGCACUGAAUGAACCUCGUCAUGUCCCUACAAAUAUUGACGAUGCCUUUGUCUUCGAGCACCGCCUCACGAGGUUCGAUCCUAGGUAUCUGCAGGUAUAUAGUAAAUGAAGAUUAGGAUAUAUUACCACUAGGAAGUUAGCACAUGGCAGCGUAUAAGAGACUUACAUCUUCGGGGUUCGUCCAGUACCUCCCAUUGUUUCUGAGGAACUCGCACACGUAAUAUCCACAUAGCGUAGUACCAGGAGGUUGCCUGUGGUACUGCAAUCAAAUAGAAAAAUGAUGAGUUGUUAUAAAUGACAAGUUGCAUUAUGAAAAGAAACCAAGUUUUUAUGUUCUUACAAAUCUAUGUGUUAUUAUUUUCAUCAUUUUCUUCCUGUUUUCAAGGCAUUCCCCGUCUUUCAUUACGUAAAGCUUGUGCGCACUUUGAAAAAAUAAAUAAAAGAGUUAGCAAUACAACUUAGGUGCAUAGAAUCUCAACAUGCAUUUAAGUACUGCCAAAGAAUGUCUUACUUUUGUACAAUACCUAGGAAUUCCUUGUAACUAUCUUUGGUAAAUCUAGCUGAGUCGAGGAUCACUACAAAUCCUCGCUUGGGGUAAAUACAGAUGCUGCAUUAUAUUAGAAUAAUUUAUAUUAUAGAUGGUAUUAAUUAGCACCAAGUAUAUAAAUAGUAAUUUAAACUAGCUAGCUUACCGAAAUUGUAAGCCCCCAUAAUAUGAUUCUUGUGAGCCUUUUUCCUCAUUACUCUUGCAAUGUACACAGACACUUUGUGCAUUUCAUCUCUAUGGGCUUUUUGCUUUAUAGCAUUUUUCUCUGCUUGUGUUUGUGCUGCUUCCAUUUCUACUUUGACCCUUUCAUUCAAUUUGAACUUGUGCUCUAGCUCACUAAUUCGUGCUAGGUCAAGGUACGCUACUGAGAACCUGCCGUUCGUCAAUUAUUCCUCUUUCCAUUGCAUCCUGCAGAAUAGUACUCUCUCAGGUAGUUGAGAUAUAAAAUAUAUACGUAUGUAUAUAAAACUCGUGUAUACGGUACAUGUGGACUUACAAGCACCAUACGGUAAUUAGCUGGACGUCGAGGUGUAUAUGAUGGUAAAGUAUGUGCAAAUCCUCGAAAUUGAUCACAAUCUUGUAAUUGAGAACGCCAAGGAAAACUGUUUUGGGAUACGCGCGGUGAUUGCUUGAAUGCCUUGCUUCAUUGCAGCCAUGGUCCAUCCACUUAUUGAGUUCCUAUGGACCGUCCACCCGAUCCCACCGAUAUAAGAAUGGUUUGCCAUGCUCAUAUUUAUCUGGGACUUCAUCUAACAUUCAGAAAUUGAGGUUUUCAUCUAUUUCCUUUUGACGAGAGGCGCCGCAAGCUACAGAUUUCUCACCGGAAUAUGAAACUUUUUUCUUCAAUACAUUUAAGAACUUGUCGACUUUUGUUGAUGGAGCCUUAUGAUCAUAUGUGCUGACCAUACGAGGUAACGCUGGCCUCUGGCGAGGUGGAGAUGGCGACCUCAGCGAUGUUGGAUCAAUAACUGGUACAUCAUCUACCCGUUCAUCACCUUGGAGUAGUGAUAUCCAUUCCUCCUCAGUGAGACCUUCUAGAACAGGUGAUAGCGGCAUUAGCUGCUCGCCCUCAUUGGUAGCUCCCUGCACAUGUGACUGAGUUGGCUGCUCGCCCUCAUUCGUAGCUACCUGCACAUGUGACUGCGUCGGCUGCUUUGUGUCAACAUUUAGCUGUAGCAUGGGUUCAUCUUGGCUCGGCCGUGAGGUUUUUGGCGAUACAUUAAUAACGAUAUCUCGGUGAUGCCACAAUAUGUAUUAGUUCAUCGCAUCACCUAGAACCUCAGUCCCCUCAUCAGUAAGGAUGUCAAGGUCGCACGACUCAUCCAACAUAGUAACAACUUGCACCCAAGAGUAUUCUGGCAGGGGUCCUUUAGGAACACAUGAGUCGUUACUGCCAUGCUGGUUGCGACCUCUCGAAACUUAUUUUGUUUCCUUCCAUAAGGUAUCACCAACCUACAUGGUGUAUCCACUUGUAUCUCGUCUACGGGAUACCUCACAUUUGUAAUGGAGCUAGGACUACUUAGAGCAACGUAUCCUGUGUUGGCAAGCUGCAGGGGUGGUUCUGCCUGUUGUUGAGCAUCAAAUGCUGUCGGGUUGCUCAUCACUUGUGCUUGCUGGGUGGCAAAGAACUCAAUCAUCUCUCAUCUUCUCCUCAAGGUCUUUCUUAUAAUGGUCCCGCUUCCUGCUUCCUGUAGCUUCCUUUUCGUUCUGGAAUGCUUUACCCCAGGGCAAUGUUCUUGACAUCUCUCGAACAUGCCCAGAGUGCUCCGCGGUUUCGAUUGCGACGGUUAGCUGAUCUAUCUCCCUGUCCAGCUUGAAAUGACCCUUCUUUUGCAUCUUGGCGAGCUGUUCCAACCUCUUGUAAAUUUCCACUGCUGUUGGGUGUUUGAAUGUAACCUUGCCAUCGGGUGUGAAUAUCGGAAUUCGAGCUAGUACCCAAUUCCUACGGCGCUCAUCCAAGCCUUCAAACAAAUUCUGUAAAUCAGCUAUCCUCCGUUCUUCUUCCUCUCUCCUCCAUUUAGCGAUCUUGGUUGCGUACCCUCCCGCACCCAAGUGAUGGGGGUUCUUGGCAACUUUCAUAGCCUUCCUGGUAUUUUCUUCGCUCAGGGCUUUUGCUUCCAGCGUGUUCAUCUGUUGUACGAACUCCUCCCUUUUUUUUGGAGGAAUCCUACCAAAGUCAUCCCUAGCAUUCUUGUCUUUCUUUGGAUAUUCUGUAUUAAGAAUAGACCUCCGAUUCCUAAAACAUCUCCUAAGGAGGCCGUCAGCAAAUUUUCUUGCGGAUUCCUCUUGACCUUCAGGAAAAGUGAACUUUUUCUUUCAAUGUGGCCCACAAUACAACCUUUGUAGUGGUAGGCACAUUCUUCCAGUUACUAGUCGUGAUGCAGGUCUACAAUUUAUCCCUAACAAUAGCUCCACAUAUGUUCCGAAACCUAGCAGCUAUCCCCUCAGGUAAUAUGGGCUCACCUUUGGAGCCAAGCAUUUCUAUGACGAGAGUACCUUUCUCAGGGAUCACAUUUCAGCUUCUUUUCCCACAUUGCUUUUUCAGAGCACUACUGGAAGUAGUUGUAGCCAAAGGCUGUGGUGCAGAGGCAGCUACCUCGCCUUCCUGCAGAGUCGAUGUACGAUGUCGCGGUGUGCGAAUGAACUGGGGAUUGGUCAUCGUUCUAUAGAGAAAACAAUAGUUGGAGUUUAUCAUUUUCAUGUGAACAACAAACGCAUCACUAGCUAGUAUAUGAAUGUGCAUGCAGGUACCUGGUGAUCUGUAGUUGGAUCGUAUUUAAGGUCAUCUUCAUCUAGAUGCCUGCGAGUCCUAGGUGGGCUUGGUUCGUACUCAGGUGGAGUAAAAUACGAUCCACAUGAGCCAUUGGAAUCAGAAUUCUCCUUGACGGAUUUAGUCGCUCUUAAUAUGCAAAAUUGUAAUACUUACAAUUAAAAAUUAUUCAUGAAUUUAUGCAUAUCAACACAAAUUUGUACACCUAAUUUUUCCUUUCACAAUUCAAACAUAUUUAUUAUUCAUACAUUUAUGGAUAUCAAUACAUAUACAUUUAUAUCUACUAGUACUACCACUAAGCUAACCACCCUAAAAAUAAGGCUGCUUGUACAUGAUUGAUAUAGUAUGUAGGAAAGAAGUUAGUCUUGCAUAGAGUUAAGACCUUGAUAAAAUGUGGCCCCAUAAAUCACAUUUCUGAAGAAAUGAAUAGAGUACUUUGAUGAUAGCAUGGUCCAAUGAACAUUUUAGCAUAGAGCUUUAAUUCAUGAUACCAGUAGAGAUGGAGUCACCUAUGGAUUUGAUUUUUAUCACCCUUUUCUAAUUAAAUUUACAUUAACAUUCAGGUUCUUGAAUGAUACAGCAGCAUUCUUAGCUUCGGGUGAUGGAAUGAAAAGGUAAACAUUCAGCAUUUUAAAUAAAAUUUUCUGAUGCACACCCAACCCCUGCUUUCAGGAAAAAAGCAUGUACAUCAUAGUACAUAUGAAAUUUCUAACCUCAUAACACUCCCAACCCCUUUAACUCCACCUAGCAAAGAAAUCCUAGACUGAAACCAUCUCUUGGAGAUAAACCUGAAUCAUGAUAUUGUACAACCACAAGCUCUAUGCUAAGAACAUGAUAGCUUACAAACAUGCCAUGUCAAUAACUAGAUUUCUCCAAUUCAUUCUACCACGACAGAGGCUCAGGGCAAUCAAUCAAGCAAAGACAACAAAGCUUCUGCAUAUCUUCCCACAUUUGAACCCCAUCUUCCCAAAGAUAAUGGCUCUUAGUGUUAAGUGCUCGUGUUUGUACUCAUCCCACAUCCGAACCUCAUCUUCCCAAAGCUUCUGCAUAUCUUCCAUCAAUGGCUCAUCUAUGUUGAUGCGAGGCUGCUUCGGGCCUUGUAUGAGAAUGGUUAGCAAAAGAAACUUUCUCUAGUGACAUAGCCAUGGGGAAGGUUUCAUAUAGUCAUCAGCACUGGCCAUGUGCUGUGCAUGCUGCUUCUUUCACCAAACAGAUACAUGCCGUCUGUACUCAACGCGAGCCGAACAUUCCUUUUUUCAUCUAAAAACUCUAGAUGAUUGGCAUCGAAGGUCCUCCACUAGAGAGCAUCGAAAGGAUGUUGAAGCUUUCCAUCAUCCUUUACUGGUCGAUCAGCAUGCCAAGUUAUCAUUUCAGCGAUUUUUGGGUUUGAGAACAAACGCUUUAGACAGUCCACCACCGGCAAGUACCACAUCACCAAGGCAGAGACUCUGCACUGAUUCGUUGUGUCAAUACCUAUACAGGACUCGUCCUCCACUUGAGCAUCAACACUUUUCUUUUCAACCUUCUUUCUCUUAUUCCCGAUGGACGAACUGGCACGAUGCUCACAGAAAUCGGCAUUACUUUUGCAACGGCUAGCAUUGCAAUUUGGACACUUUUCCAAUACCGCGUACUCACCACGGUACUAUAUGCAGUGGUUCUUGCACGCGUGUAUUCUCUGCACAUACAUCUUCAAUGGAUUGAUAAUCUUCUUUGCUUCGUAUGUGUUUUUUGGCACAAAGUUAGGCUUCGGGAGAAAAUUUCCCAGCAGAGUAAGGAGAUCAUUAAAACUAUUGUCUGACUAGCCGAAUUUAGCCUUUAGGAUCAGAAGAUGAAGGACGAACACAAUACUGUCCACUCCUUCCCACAUCCCACAUACAUACGAUCAUUUGCUGCCUUCUUGAUCGUCUCGAAAUUCUCUAAUCUUUUAGUACUCUCUAGCAACACUUCCAGUUCAAUGCGGUGCAACAUGUUCUUCAUAUCAACAUCCGUUCCUCAUCCACCUGUGGUUUCACACGCAUAUCUUUUGAUCACCAUUUUGAUGUCCACGAUCGUAAUCAUCAUUCAUCAUAACAUGAUCACCACCAACUUCAUCACAACCAAUAUCGAUGUCUAUGUUGUUGGAAGUACCUCCGGCCUCUCCAUGGUGGGACCAAAUUGUAUACCCAUCCACAAAACCUCACUUUAUCAAAUGCCUCUUGAUGACAUUAUUAACCUCCCAUACAAUUUUGUUGCUACAGUCAAAACACGGAUAACGUAUUUGCUUUGUGUUGCAAAUACGAGUGUGUUUCUUCGCAGCCUCCACAAACUUCGCUACCUCUAACAUGAAAGUAAGCGAAUGUCUCCGUAUGCCAAACAUCCAUGCUCUUUGAUCCAUCUUUAACAACCUAUGACAAGAUUUUUAUGUUAUAUUAACUAAUUUAAUGAGCUAUUCCAUAAACUAAAUUAAAUUAUAGAUGUAUUAGCUAAUAAGUAGGAAGAAAUUUAAUAAAAAAUAAUUCUAUAUUACCCUAAAUGAAACUCAAUUAAACAAUUCUAUAUUACCCCAAAGCUAAUGAUAUGGAUAGAAGUUGAAAAAGAAGGUUGGAAUAGCACAAACUCACCUUAUAUAGCCACCUCCUCCACAGAAAUCAAGAGCAAAACCUUCCCCCUUAGAUUUGGUAUUUUUGGAGCUUUUCCCGAGCAGUUAAACCUAGGAUGUAAUAAUUAAUAAGAAGAAUGAAAAAAAUCAAACUCAAUUAUAUAUUAAUUCAAUCAACUUAAUUAAUUGAAACUAUGGACGCAAUAAUUACUAAAUAGGAAAAAUACAAUAAAAACUAAUUCUAUAUUACCCUAAAAGAGAAUGAAUUGAACCAUUGAUGUAAUAAUUAAUAAUAGUAAGGGAAAAAUCAAACUCCAUUAUAUAUUAAGAUAAUCAACUUCAUUAAUUAAAACUAUAGAUGUAAUAAUUAAUAAAAAGGAAAAAUAUAAUCAAACUCAAUUCUAUUACAUUAAAAUGAUAAACAUAGUGUUGUAAUGAUUAUAAUAUGGCCAUAGAAUUUUAUUCAAAAAAUAAUCCAUUUCUAGUUUUUUUCUCUCUUCCCUCCUCUCUCUCUCCUAGUUCUAGAUCUAGAUCUAGAUGACAAGCUAAUAAAGCUAGAUAUGAUGGAUAGAAGUUCAAAAAGAAGGUUGGAAUGGUACAAACUCACCUUAUAUAGCCACUUCCUCCAAGGAAAAUCAAGAGCAAAACCUUCCCCCUUAGAUUUGAUAUUUUUGGAGUUUUUCCUGAGCUCCUCUCGAGCAAGCUCCAAAUGGAAGGUUGCUUGAGGAAGAAGAUGAACAGGAGCAUUUAUGGCGGGCUCUGUGCUGGCGGGCGACAUAAGCCAACCGCUAGCACAGAUCACCCCAUCUGUGCUGGCGGUGGGCUUAGGUCGACUGGCAGCACAGAUGGGGUGAUCUGUGCUGACGGGUGCUUGCGUCCACUAUGCUGGCGGAUGGUCCCCCGUCGGCUCAAGGAAGCUUUGUGCUGGUGGGUGCCAAUCACGCCUGCCAGCGCGCUAAUUUGCCUGUGCCAGCAUAAAUCAUUUCUGGUGUAGUGAAUAAUAUAACAGGAAGCUAAUUGGAAUUAUAUAACAGGACGGAAAUUGGCGCACUAUCCAAAGGUAAUUGAUGCACAUCGAUUACAUACACAGAUUUGGCUUAUUAUAUGCUCGGAUGCCCUGUAAAACACUACAAAACUUCCUUCACCCUCACCUGCAAGUAUUUCAACCAAGGCAGCCACCAGAAUGCAAUGAAAUCUUGUCUCAAUACAAUCUAAAAUUUUCAACAUGAUGAUGCAAUUUGAGUGGCGAGAUGAGAGCUUACCAGUCAAUCAAGGAUAAUGGCUAGCAUCUCUGGAGGGGAUUACUCAUCAAUUGUGUCAUGUGCUGGAAUACAUCUGCCGAUGCCAUCCUAACCUCUGCCUAUGAACUACAAUUGGGAUGAUUUUUACAGAGCAGCCAGUGAAAAUGAGAUCUUGGGAAUGGAAUGGAAAAAUUUAGAAACCCUAAGAUGAAAGCCACUAACCAGAGAGAUCCCAUCCCAAAUCCAUGACAAAUCGACAAUCUGCAACAGCAAGAAGUGGGAUUCAUGAUUCUUCACUGGCAACAAAGAAUGAAUGGAGGAACAGGGUACCUGCCCUUCAACGAUGACGCUGCACAAUCGCCGGCACACGGAACAGCAGGUGCCCGGUGGCGAGGACUCGUGCGAGCGAGGCCGCAAGAGCCGGGGUGAUGGGCGAGGCCGCAAAGUUCGGGUUGGGGGGGGGGCGCGGGAGCGGGGUGAUACGGGGCACAAGUCUUGUUGACAUCAAACGUUGCGGCGAGGACACGAUCAGCAGCCACGGCGCGAGGUGUACGAGCGUGCAGUAAGGGGACGGCGGCACACGGGCCUCUGUUGAGGAGGAAGAGGGGAGCAGGGUGCCGUCGUGGCAGGCGGCAAGGAGGAGGCGCAUGCAAGGGCACGGGCUUGGCGCAGGCGAGGGAAGAGGGGCGGCGGUGGCUUGUCGCAGGGGAGUGGCAGCGCGUAGUAGCAGGCUUUGAUGAUGGGGGCGGCGGCAACGCGUCGGGUUCCACAAAAAAAAGAGGCGGAGAUGAGGUGAGGGAGGCAGUUGCUCGGUCCUCUAGCCGCCAACGGGAUGGAUGGGCGAUGACGGGGUGGGGAGGCGGCGCUGGCGCCGUGUCGAGGAUGGGGAGGCGGCGGUUCAAGAGAGGGGAAUUGUGGGUAGAGAGGGGAAACUAGAGAGGAGGGAAAAAAACGGGGGGCAGCAAGUGGAGCGAACGACGGGUGGGGCGAGGCAGACCCAUCGACGACGUUUUCUCUUUUUUUUAGCUGUAGAGACUUUUUCACCUGGUUGCAUUUCUAACUUUCUUCGAACAUCGAUACAUAGAAACGUUUCAAAAGAAUACGAUAUAUCAACAUGAAAAUAAUAGAACAUAAAAAUGCAACUAAAACAUCGAUGCGUGGAGCAGGUCAUUAAAUAUUGGUACCUGUCUGGCUGUCUCAUACGACAUGGGACCUGACAAUAAGCGUUCUUACAUUUUCCUAUUUUUACUCACGAACAAUGAAACAACCAUUCCCACCAAUCAAAAGGUCCGGGGUGCGUGUUCCCUUAUUGUGGAGGGAAAUUAUUACAGAAAAACUUACCUUUAGUCCUGGUUGGUAAGGAACAUAGGUUUAAAAAACUAAUCGGGACUAGCUAUUCGAGACAAAAGAGGAUCCUUUAUGGCGUGUUUGGGACUACUCCGCUCCAAAACAUAUAGCUCCACUCCACCAACUUCACCUUCCUUCAGCUCCACUCCACCAAAUGCACGAAACAUGGAGCCGUUGCACCUAUUUGGUAAAUGAGAGGACUCCAGCUCUAGGAACAUGUGUGCAUUGUCUAUUAUACCCCUGUAUUGUGGGACCCACACAUUAGUGUACAUUAGAGGAAUUCUUCGAUCGGAUCCCAUGAGGAGGCCAGUAGGCACACAUUUGAAGCUCCACAGCUGUGGUGAGCACGAGAAAGGCCACCAGGGCCACGGCCGCCACCGGAUGAGGAUGCGGCCAUGGACACAUCGAAGAGGAGCAUGACUGCGCGAGGGAGAUGGAAGGUGGUGGCAGCGUCGGCUUCGGAGUCCGCCACGGCCGGCUAGAGUAUGGGAUGCAGGAGUGCGGGCUGCACUACUGCUACUCGCCCUCCGCAUCCUCGAGGGCCGGGGCGGCAUGAGGCCGGAUGCUGCCGACAGGGAGCUGCACAAUGGCGAUGAGUGUAGCCCCUAGGCCCCAGCACGCGGCCGCUCCCGGCAGUAGGUGGGACAUGCUGGGAGCCGCGAUGGUUGGGCUGCGAGCUCUGAUGUCGACGGCAGGGGCGACAUCAGCGUCGACGAUGAGCUCCCAAACCUCGACGACACGGCCACGCUUGCGGCCGGUGUUGGGGGCGGCGUUGGCGGCCCACUUGCCCCAAGGGCCGUGGUGGAGCUCCAGCCGACACCGUCGCUCCCACUGCGGUGGAGCUGCUUGACGAGCUCCGCGGAGGGGUCGCCGAGCCCCUAGGACACACAGCACCAGCAUCAUUGCCCGGCGUGCGGCGCAGCGGAGGCGGCCCCACGGCCUAGCAUCCUUGCGGCCCUGCGGGAAGCAGCCAUGACUCAUGGCCUAGCCGGUGGUGGUGGCGGUGGAGGCUCGGCGAGGUGGGGAAAGGAGCAACGGAUGAGGUGAGGGGGGCGGGAUGUGGAGUACUGGUGCUUUUUCUUUUCUUAAAUCAAAAUGGUACGUUGGUAACUGGUGGCAUGAUCGGUAAUUACUCCCCAACUCUACGGGGAAGUAUGAAACUGGAGUUUUUGAGCACAUCUUGAGGUGCUCCAGAAAAACCUUGGAUUUGCCCUCUAGAUCUACCUUUUUUUGGAGUUGGGAUUGUUGGAGCUGGAGGUGUUUGGCAAGAUGGUUUGGGAGCGGAGUUGAAAAAACUGAAGCGGAGUAGUUCCAAACAGACUCUUAAUCCCGAGUCAUUCACCCUAAAGACCCCCUAAAAACCAACAGGGACUAAAAAUGUUUGAAAAAUAAAAAAAGAGGUCGCACGCUGCCCGCGCCGGCCGCUGCUCGCCCGCUAGCCGGUUGGCCGCCCGCCGCCGCAGCAGAAGGGGAGGGGGCAGGAGACGGAGGGGAGAGGGCGGCGGGUAAAAGUGUGGGAGCCACGUGGGAAAGGAGGAAAAUAAAGUGGAGGUCGGGAGAGAGAAGAGAUAAGGGAGAGGAGGAAGAUAAGGUGGAGGCCAGGUGAUUUAUCCCGGUUGGUGGCCAAUCGGGACUAAAGGCUCCCUUAGUCCUGAUUGGAAUUGCCUAUAUUUUUAGGUGAUAAACUAAUUCUAUCGGAGUUAUUGGAGAUCUAUAAGUGAUAAUGUGAACCAUGUUUUCAAUGGAAUCUGGGAAACUAUCAACUUUAGCACCUCCGAUGUACAAGUCCAAGUCCUUCAAUACGGAUUGCAGGGGUUAUAUAAGCUUGCCAUGGCACCCAUCUAGGCAUCUACCCUAUCCAUUGUCUCGCCUGAUCUUUUGCCAGCUGAUAGCCUCAUGGGUCCCAGCUUGGGUGAACAACGCACGGCGUUUUGGUCCGACCUACCGCCGGAGCUUGCCGGCCUCAUCCUCUGCCGGCUGCUGUCCCAGGAUGACCGCCUGAGCUUCGGGUCUGUCUGCCGCCACUGGCGCCUGGCCGCGCAGCAGCAACAAACAUCAUUUCGCCGGCACUGCCGUGGCUUUUUUGCUUUUAAGAUCGCUUCUUCCAAAGCCUCCCCGGGGGUGAACUGAGGACCUUCGUUCCGGCCAACUGCCUCAACUGCUUCGACAGCUGGCUCUCCUGCGAGCACAACAACGGCACCAGCGCAUGCUUCUUGAUCAAUCCUUCCUCCAGAAAAUUCAUAGAGAUACCUGAAUGCCCCUUUCGUGAGAACUUGUCCAACUACGACUUCCCAUACCCGCUGAAGAUGAUCGUGUGCUCCCCUGACCUCGUCGCCGGCAUGUGUGAGCAGUGCACAGUUGCGUCCUACCGGCCGGGUGAUGUCUCAUGGUCAAUUUGCCCACCGGACAGUUACCGGGGAUUCGUGGACAUAGCUUUCCUCCGCAGAAAGCUCCACGAUCGAUGCUCGUAGCCUAAGAGAGGGUGAAUUAGGCAAUUUAAAAAUUUAACCUAUGAUUUUCACUAUUUUGCAUCAAAAUAUAAACUAGAUCAUGCUAUCUAAAUGUGCAAUCUAUGGUUGAUCUAGUGUAAAACUCUUAUCCCAAAAUAAGUUUUGCAACAUAUAGUCAAUCUUAUCAAGAUAUUACUCUAGAAAAGUAAAGGCACACAAGUUUCAAGUAUGAAAUGCGGAAACGUAAGAGAGGGAUGAGGGGAAGCAAACUCUUAACACAAUGAUUUAUCACUCUUAACACAAUGAUUUAUCUUGUGGUAUCGGUAGGCACUAAGCCACCACUAGUCUAUGUUGUUGAAGCACUCAGACAAGAGUAUUGCUUCCCGAUCACCAAAUCUCUUCUAAGAUGCCCCUUGACUUGCCACAAAGACUCGACCACUAAGGCUCCCGCCAAGUCCCUCGGUCACCUUGAUGCCGUUUUCACUAAGUAGCUUCUCCAUGAAGGAAGGGGGUCUCCACGUCCCCCGCACAAAGUCUCGACGUCGCUCUACACCAAUCUGGAUUUUCUCUAUCAUUUGGAUGCUUCAAUACCAUAGAAUAAUUCUAGAUAUCAUGGAUUGGAUACUCGAAUACCAUAGCUUGCAUACUCGAAUACCAUAAUUUGGAUGUCAAGAAUACCAUCAUUUGGACCUUGCCAUGAUUUGGUUUGCAUUCUUGGGACUUAGAAAUUAACCUACAAGGUACAUACUAGACAAAGCAUUAAUCCCAAUGACUAUGUUGUCACUCAAUCAAAAAACACAAACUAUUGCUUAAUGAGGUCAUAUUCACUAUGGGAGGAGCUUUUUGGUCCAUGACCUCAUCGAGGAGAUAGCACCGCCGUGGAAUCAAGGGCAUGGCAUGUAGAGUAUAGGAAGGACCUCCAUUGAAUAAUCAGCUGGAUGAGAUCUACUACACCAGAAUCUAUCUCGUCGCGUACUCUGGUAAUCUACUUAUGGUGCGUGUCAGUGGUUCCAGGGAUAAGCUCGUUGAGAAGAUUGCAGUGAAGGUGUUCAAGGCGGAUUUGGUCGCGGGUCGAUGGGUGGAGGUGAAUAGCUUGGACGCUGCCCAAGCUCUCUUCGUCAGCAGAGGCUGCUCCAAGGCCAUUCUAUUACCGGACGAUGAUGACAGGUUCAAAGGGAAUCGUGUAUACUUCAUAGGUACUGAUUUGGCCUCAUGUUACCCUGAUACGCUUAGAGAGAUUCCCACCUACUGUUUCCGUGACUUGAGGAAGGGGUACGCCAGAUGGUCCGAUUGGUGGGAAUGGUUCUUUCAUUGUUCGUGAGUAUGUAGGAGCACUUAUUAUAGUAUAACAAUAAGGUAUAAAUAUUUAAUGCCAUGUAUGUUUUGGUUGAGUAGUUUUUUUUCUGUAUUUUCAUGUUGCUAGUUUUCUUUUGGAAUGUUGCUAUGUAUCGGCUGUUUAGUUUGAAAUUGCCGAUCAGCGAAGAGUCACCAUAAGUGAACGCUAUCCCUUUGCUUUGCUUUUUUAUUCAAAACACGUCUUCACGAGCAGCCCGUGGAUUUUGGUGUUGAGGGUACAAAGAAAUGUAAAUUAAAAAUCACCCUAAAACCUAAACCGUAAACCCUAAACCCUAAAUAAAAAAGUAAGGAUAUAAAGAAAACACACAAAUACCAAUACAACAAUUAAAGUUUCACUUCUCAAAGUUGUUGGACAAUACGGUUGCUCCCAUUUUCAUAGGUAGAUCAAGGGUCAUAAUGCCCCUGUUUACCGGCUACAUUCUCGCAAUAUGCUUUAGAAAUGGUAAAAAAGAAAACAAAUCAUAUUUGUAUUUCUCCUCCGAAUCACCCCAUUCACGCUGCUGCGCCGAUGAACUUCGUAAUCUCGUUUCCUAGGGACUCCCAACGUUUUCAUAGCUAGUAAACCACACUGCCUGCCCCGAGUGAAAGUGAUCAUGUUGCGCUUCGGGUACCGUCCACACAACUUUACCUUCAUCCUUAGCUCCCGUCCUUCCCUGGCCUUAUUAGCACCAACUUGAAAGGAUACACACUAACCAGCAUUGGUGUUGACGACACGACAGUUAGCGCGCCAAUUUGUGAACCGCAAACGUAUGGAUCAGUUGUAGCUUCUCCCUUAGAGUAAUCCUCAAGAUUUAUCAAUCCAUGGAACAAGGGAUUUGCACGCUUGACUAAGCACUAAUCUAUGUAACCAAAAGCCCUGUGUAUUGAAUAAGAUUAUGGUAACAAAAGAGCUAUCAAGUCUGAUCAAAGCAGAUGCAAUCACUUAGAGAGUAAAAGGUGUGAACAAGAUAGAUGGAACGUUUAUCCUAGGGAUCUAGGAUCACUUGCAAAUGCAAUCGUCAUGAAUGAAAGAACUAGAUCUAAGUGUUAUCACGAGUGGAUGUGAACCAUGCCGAACACUUUUCCUUUUGCAUACUGUCACUAUGCAAGGAUAAUAAACUAUUGGACAAUAAGAACACGGUAUGAUGAUCAUUCUAGGUAAGUAAUAAAGCAACCUAAAGUAGUGUUGGUCAGCCAUUACAUGAAAGAGCAUCAUCAAUAUAUGAAUGAUAACAAACAGAUCAGGUUCGGUGAUUACAAAUCAAGAUCUCUAUGUAACCCCGAGGACAAACAAAGACUUUACCCCAUGAUCUUACACAUGUUGACACAAAAAGGGUAAAGGGUGCCUGUAGAUCAGCUAGAUCGAAGAGGACGAAGAACAGAGGCAGCAAAGCCUCAGGCCGAUCGGGUCUAGGCCGAUCAGCUUGGGGUGUUUUCGCCUCCUCCCGAGCUCCGCUUCGCGUGGCGCCCUGUAGAUCCGAUCUUCUCUCCAUUUUCCAAUCUUGUGGCGGCGGUGGAUGAUAUUUUCAUGGUGUUUCGUCUCCUCUCUCCCUCCCUUUUUGCUUGUGGUUUUCAACGAGUAUUUAUAGUCCAUCGUGAGAGGCGGCUCUGGACGAUUUGUUGGUGGAAAAACCCUAAUGCAUCGUAGACGUCACGCUGAAGAGACGGGAGUGGAACAGGCCAAGCCGAUCAGCCUAUAGGGUCCCAGACUGAUCGACCUAGGCCCUUCCUGGCCCAUCUGGUCCUCCCAUUUUACGUGUAGGCUUCCCUUGAUGACCCACGUCCAAUUAUUCAUUAAGCUCCACGCUCAAAUCCUCUGAUUAUGUUGUAUUUUUUGUCAAAACAAAAUAUGCUCCAAAAUACAACACAUAUGCGAUGAUGGGGGUAUUUUAGGUGCCAAGUGAUAGAUUAGUAUAAUAAUUAAUCUAAUAAUACCACAUAAAUGAUAUAAAAAAGUAUCACUAAUGAGCGUCAACAAUUGGUCCAUCAAUCUAGGUACAAAGGUAAUGAACACACGACACACGCGAAGCGAUGAACGAAGGUGAGCAUAUUACGAAAGGUAAUUACGGCUUGACUGCGUAAUCCAACGAGCAAAGGUGAUCCAGAUCCGCGUCUUCCUGCUUCUUAAUUUUCGCCGCCCGCGCGCGUGAUCGCCGGAUGGUGGGAAGGGGCCUGCAGGCAGCGUCGGCUCUGUUUUGAAGGAGGAGAAACAGGUCGAAAGAGAUCGAUAUUCUCAGCAGCCGCCGUGGCUAGUUGGAUUCAAGGAGUCUUACGUCAUUACGUGAGUACUAAGGACGAAGCACGUGCAUGACAUUAACACUGCCUCACUCCAUUCAAGAUGGAGCCUUGUUGGUUGAUGCAUGCGUGCCACGAGAACACUAGUUAAGAUAGGUAAAUGGAUUUGCAUAGACACUCUGAUCAGACAACAAGAACUGUAUGACAGUACGUGCACAUUAUUUUUUUCAUCUCACGUGCCUUGCGCUAUAGUGGAGGAACUCGAUGAAUAUGGGACUACGGGACGGAGUGGAAUAAUGGAAUAACAAAUUGCUUUGUGUGGACAGCUCUCGCGCGGCAUGCUACAUCACUGUGUAAGAAUCUUUCAAAGAACACACCCUCGUAGGAGACGCGGAAUUCAGCCGCGUCUCUAUAGGAGAUGCGGGUUAUGUAAGCUGCGUCUCCUAUAAGAGUGCUCCGGGAGUAAGAGGAUGACCCGCGUCUCCCAUGUACCUAUAUUGGAGACGCAGGUUAACAAACCGUGUGUCCAAUAACAUGAUGUGUCAUAGGAGAUGUGGGUUAACAUUCCGCAUCUCCGAUGUGUCAUGUAAAAGGAGACGUGGAUAGGUAAAAACGCGUCUCCAAUAACAAUUACAAGAGAUGCUUGGACCUGAACUUUUUAUCAAAUGCGCUUUAACUUCUCGCAUCCGGGUUCGGCAUCCAUGCACCCUCUCCCCCCGUCCUCUCUCUCCUCUCAUUUUCUCUCUCCUCUCUAGCUCCCCCUGUUGGGAUACGAGGUAGGCUACACUAGCGCAAAUCAAAAUUUCUACCGCGUAUAACCAGGAAGAACUGCCGUAUAAGGAUCACGGGAUUACCACUCGACGCACUACUGGUGCGGAAGAUGUAGAUAUGCGUCGGUGCAGUGAAGACGAUCACGUAGUCGUACGUGGUCGAUCAACGUAGUCGUACGUAGUCGAUCACGUCACGUCCAGCAGCUCCCACGUGCAGCAAGAUCGCCUCCGGUGCCGCGGCUCGUCGUCGGCUCGUCGUGGCUCGUCGGCGGCUCGUCGAUGGUCGUCCAAGUGCUGCAGGCGCAACACCUCCAAGGUAUCCACACGUGCAGGGAGGAAGCGUCGCAAGCCGGACUGCUAGAUCCGCGAGUUGCAACAGGCGAGGGCGUGGGAGGCGCGGCAAGUGUGUUCAGCCAAAAGGUGUAAACCCUAGGGCGCCCCCACCCCUCUAUUUAUAGAGGUUCCUGAUGGGCCUCUGGAUCCGAGGCCCAUUAGUACUCCUAAACCUAAUCCAACUCGGAUCAGAUCCGAAUUGGGCUUCCAGCCCCUUAAGUGUGUGACCCUAUGGGUUCGGAUACGUAUAGACAUGGCCCGAGUACUCCUACUCGGCCCAAUAGUCGGUAGCGACCUCUAGCAAGACGUGCCAACUCCUAUACGCAUACGAAGAUCAUAUCAGACGAACCAUCACAACAUAAUAUACAUGCUAUUCCCUUUGCCUCACGAUAUUUGGUCUAGCUUCAAGCCGACCGCUCUUUCUCGAUCCUGUGAUUCGGAAUCCCUUUGUAGGUUAAUUGUUAACCGUACGUAGCAUGGCCAUGCAUUUUUGGAUCCGAUCACUCGAGGGGCCCAGAGAUAUCACUCUCAAUCAGAGAGGGGCAAAUCCCAUCUUGACUGACCAUGUCUCAUAGCAUGCUUCUUGACAAACCCGAAAGCUACCUUUAUAACUACCCUGUUACGGCGUAGCGUUUGAUAGCCCCUAAGUAGGUCAAUCCACAUCUAGAAUACAUGCGACAGUCUCAGGUCUAAGGACAAAGCGUAUAUGUUGUUUAAAGAGAGAACUACUUCUCGUGUUGGGUUAGUCCUAACACAUGUCUCCACAUGUGUCCACAUUAUUAGUUCAACAUCUCCAUGUCCAUGACUUGUGAAACAUAGUCAUCAACUAAUACAUGUGCUAGUCUAAUAUUCAUGUGUGUCCUCACAUGAACUCCGACUAGGGACAACUUUAGAAUAACCAUACAAGUAAAAAGUUUCACAUACAAUUCACAUAAUUGCAAAUCAAUUCAAGUAGCCUUUAAUGGAUAUUCAAUGAACACAAUAUACAAAUCAUGGAUACAAAUGGAAUAUCAUCAUCUCUAUGAUUGCCUCUAGGGCAUACCUCCAACAGUCUCCCAC